rnacentral:rRNA from 1 species
AUUGAACGCUGGCGGCAUGCUUUACACAUGCAAGUCGGACGGCAGCGGGGUAGUGCUUGCACUACUGCCGGCGAGUGGCGAACGGGUGAGUAAUAUAUUGGAACGUACCGAGUAAUGGGGGAUAACCAAUCGACAGAUUGGCUAAUACCGCAUACGCUCUGAGGAGGAAAGCAGGGGACCUUCGGGCCUUGCGUUAUUCGAGCGGCCAAUAUCUGAUUAGCUAGUUGGUGGGGUAAAGGCCUACCAAGGCGACGAUCAGUAGCGGGUCGGAGGUGAGAGACCGCCAAACGGAGACUGAGAGACUGUCCAGAAUCCUACGGGAGGCAGCAGUGGGGAAUUUUGGACAAUGGGCGCAAGCCUGAUCCGGCCAUGCCGCGUGGAUGAAGAAGGCCUUCGGGUUGUAAAGGACUUUUGUUAGGGAGCAGAUCCUGGCCUCUAAUACAGGUCGGGGAUGAGAGUACCAGAAGAGUAAGGACCGGCUAACUACGUGCCAGCAGCCGCCGUAAAAC